rnacentral:rRNA from 1 species
AGAGUUUGAUCCUGGCUCAGGACGAACGCUGGCGGCGUGCUUAACACAUGCAAGUCGAGCGGUAAGGCCCUUCGGGGUACACGAGCGGCGAACGGGUGAGUAACACGUGGGUGACCUGCCCUCAGCUCUGGGAUAAGCCCGGGAAACUGGGUCUAAUACCGGAUAUUCACAUUCUCCUGCAUGGGGGUGUGUGGAAAGUUUUUCGGCUGGGGAUGGGCCCGCGGCCUAUCAGCUUGUUGGUGGGGUGAUGGCCUACCAAGGCGACGACGGGUAGCUGGUCUGAGAGGAUGAGCAGCCACACUGGGACUGAGACACGGCCCAGACUCCUACGGGAGGCAGCAGUGGGGAAUAUUGGACAAUGGGCGCAAGCCUGAUCCAGCAAUGCCGCGUGGGUGAAGAAGGUCUUCGGAUUGUAAAGCCCUUUCGGUGGGGACGAUGAUGACGGUACCCGCAGAAGAAGCCCCGGCUAACUUCGUGCCAGCCGCCGCGGUAAUUC